rnacentral:misc_RNA from 1 species
UACUAGUGUUGGUUUGCUACUUGAUCCUAAGGUCCAGCCCCCUCGCGUGACGACCACGCUGGCUACCGGGCAAAAUGCGCAUCACCUCUUGCUUGUCUAGAUCAGCCCGGACGUUGGCAUGUGUAGCGUAUUUUGUCGGGUUUCGAGAUCAAGAAUCGAUGUCCCUUUGUUGGUUGGUUUUCCGAGAAUCCUUGACCCUUGAUUUGUUACUUUCGCAUCGUUAGGUGCAUGUUUUCCGAGAAUCCUUGACCCUUGAUUUGUUACUUUCGCAUCGUUUGGUGCAUGUUUUCCGAGAAUCCUUGACCCUUGAUUUGUUACUUUCGCAUCGUUCGGUGCAUUCUGGGGGAUGUUUUGGCUUUUGGUGGCUUACUUGGCCUUUUGGCUGGGUUUGUUGCUAUUGGUCGGGCGGCUUUCGGGAAUGUCGACCGUGGAGGUGCAUGAGUGGUGUUUGGUUUGUUACGUGUGGAUGGCUGUUUGCUUGUGCAACAACGUUCACGCUGCAUACCUCUUCAGUUUUGCGGCAAGGCGGUUUGGCUUGUGCAUAUUGUGGGUUUCCUGUGUUGCAUACCUAGUUGAUGGAAAAGUGUGGGUUUUACGAUUUUCAUUUUCGUCUUGCGUCGUUCUUUCGGCGUGGGAUGAACAAUGAAGCGAUCUUUAUGAUCCAUCGUGCUGUUGCGUUUGCAACAAUGAUGUGGCCUAUGAAGCAUCGUUUGGUCUCUUGUAUACGGAAGCUCAUUUGGGCUUGGGUCUUUAUAAGAUCUUCGUUACGCCCUUGUUAAGCGUUCUCGCUUCUCCUAACCGAUUG